rnacentral:rRNA from 1 species
AACGUAGGGGACAAGCGUUAUCCGGAUUUACUGGGCGUAAAGCGCCCGUAGGCGGCCUGAUAAGUUGGACGUGAAAGCUCCUGGCUUAACUGGGAGAGGCCGUUCAAAACUGUCAAGCUAGAGUCUGGAAGAGGAGAGCGGAAUUCCCGGUGUAGUGGUGGAAUGCGUAGAGAUCGGGAGGAACACCAGUGGCGAAAGCGGCUCUCUGGUCCAAAACUGACGCUGAGGGGCGAAAGCGUGGGGAGCGAACGGG